GUUCUGUCUUCGGCCGAGGGGGGAUUCUGCCUACACGGUAUGAGUCUCGUUCCCUUUGGGUGUGCGGUGUCAAAGCCGUGCACUCUUAACGGUCGGACAAGUCCGUCGGAGUGUGGUUAUUGUUGGAAGGGCAACCGACCAAUGAGGCCACCGUAAUCGUUCGGGGUGCCUUUAAUCGGGUGUCUCGGGCGGCCGACAUAGUUUACUUUGAACAAAUUAGAGUGCUCGAAGCAGGUGACUACCGCCUGAAUAGUACAGCAUGGAAUGAUGAAAGAGGACCUCGGUCUGAUUUUGCUGGUCUUUAACGGUCGGGCUUCGGCCCGGCCUAUGCAGACCCGAGGUAAUGGUCAAUAGAGACGGACGGGGGUAUCCGUACUGCGGCGACAGAGGUGAAAUUCUUGGACCGCCGCAAGACGAACGACAGCGAAGGCAUUUGCCAAGAAUGUUUUCCUUGAUCAAGAACGAAAGUUAGAGGUUCGAAGGCGAUCAGAUACCGCCCUAGUUCUAACCAUAAACGAUGCCAACUAGCGAUCCGCCGGUGUUACUCCCAUGACUCGGCGGGCAGCUUCCGGGAAACCAAAGUCUUUGGGUUCCGGGGGAAGUAUGGUUGCAAAGCUGAAACUUAAAGGAAUUGACGGAAGGGCACACCAGGAGUGGAGCCUGCGGCUUAAUUUGACCCAACACGGGAAACCUCACCAGGCCCGGACACUGGAAGGAUUGACAGAUUGAGAGCUCUUUCUUGAUUCGGUGGGUGGUGGUGCAUGGCCGUUCUUAGUUGGUGGAGCGAUUUGUCUGGUUAAUUCCGAUAACGAACGAGACUCUAGCCUGCUAAAUAGGUGCCGGGUUUUUACAUCUCCUCGCAAGGGGAGAGUGGAGUGUGUGGUUGUCGGGAUCCUGGGCUGUGGUGGUCGUUUAGGCUGCGGGGGGCAACUCUCGUGGUCUGGGCGGCUGUCAUAGUUCACCCGGUGUACGCACACUUCGCGUCCGGCAUUUUUCUUCUUAGAGGGACAAGCGGCGUCCAGCCGCGUGACAGUGAGCAAUAACAGGUCUGUGAUGCCCUUAGAUGUCCUGGGCCGCACGCGCGCUACACUGAAGGAAUCAGCGUGUUAUUCAUCCCUGUCUGAAAAGACCGGGCAACCGCUGAACCUCCUUCGUGGUUGGGAUUGGGGACUGCAAUGAUCCCCAUGAACCAGGAAUCCCUAGUAGGCGCGGGUCACUAGCCCGCGUCGAUUACGUCCCUGCCCUUUGUACACACCGCCCGUCGCUACUACCGAUUGAAUGAUUUAGUGAGAACUUCAGACGGCUAUGUUUGUCUGGGGCAACCCGCGUCGAGCAGGGCUGAAAGAUGUUCAAACUUGAUCCUUUAGAGGAAGUAAAAGUCGUAACAAGGUU
rnacentral:rRNA from 1 species